rnacentral:rRNA from 1 species
GGGGGAUAACUACUCGAAAGAGUGGCUAAUACCGCAUACGCCCUACGGGGGAAAGGGGGGGAUUCUUCGGAACCUCUCACUAUUGGAGCGGCCGAUAUCGGAUUAGCUAGUUGGUGGGGUAAAGGCUCGCCAAGGCAACGAUCCGUAGCUGGUUUGAGAGGACGACCAGCCACACUGGGACUGAGACACGGCCCAGACUCCUACGGGAGGCAGCAGUGGGGAAUUUUGGACAAUGGGGGAAACCCUGAUCCAGCCAUCCCGCGUGUAUGAUGAAGGCCUUCGGGUUGUAAAGUACUUUUGGCAGAGAAGAAAAGGUAUCUCCUAAUACGAGAUACUGCUGACGGUAUCUGCAGAAUAAGCACCGGCUAACUACGUGCCAGCAGCCGCGGUAAUACGUAGGGUGCAAGCGUUAAUCGGAAUUACUGGGCGUAAAGCGUGUGUAGGCGGUUCGGAAAGAAAGAUGUGAAAUCCCAGGGCUCAACCUUGGAACUGCAUUUUUAACUGCCGAGCUAGAGUAUGUCAGAGGGGGGUAGAAUUCCACGUGUAGCAGUGAAAUGCGUAGAUAUGUGGAGGAAUAAACCCGUCAUUUUGGUGACGCGCGGCGCCCUCGUGUGGGAUAAUACUGACGCUCAGACACGAAAGCGUGGUGAGCAAACAGGAUUAGAUACCCUGGUAGUCCACGCCCUAAACGAUGUCAACUAGCUGUUGGGGCCGUUAGGCCUUAAAGUGAGCGCAGUUAAUGCGUGAAGUUGACCGCCUGGGGUGUACGGUUGCAAGAUUAAAACUCAAAGGAAUUGACGGGGACCCGCAUGCAUGCGGUGGAUGAUGUGGAUUAAGUUCGAUGCAACGCGAAUAACCUUACCUACCCUUGACAUGUCUGGAAUGCCGAAGAGAUUUGGCAGUGCUCGCAAGAGAACCGGAACACAGGUGCUGCUUGGUUGUGGUCAGCUCGUGUCGUGAGAUGUUGGGUUAAGUCCCGCUCCGAGCGUGACCCUUGUCAUUAGUUGCUACGCAAGAGACUAUUCUAAUUGAUUCUGCUGUUGACUAUGUACCGGAGGAAGGUGGGGAUGUGGUCAGGUCCUCAUGGCCUGCUUAUGAGGUUUAGGGCAUUCACACGUGACAAUUCAGAUGGUCCGGGACAGUUGUUCGCUCUAGCCUCUCGAGGGUGAGCCAGAUUUCCUCAGAAUCCCGAUCGUAGUCCGGAUCUGCAGUCUUCAACUCUG